rnacentral:rRNA from 1 species
UACGUAGGGUGCGAGCGUUGUCCGGAAUUAUUGGGCGUAAAGGGCUCGUAGGCGGUUUGCCGCGUCGGGAGUGAAAUCAUCUGGCUUAACUGGGUGCUUGCUUUCGAUACGGGCAGACUAGAGGUAUGCAGGGGAGAACGGAAUUCCUGGUGUAGCGGUGAAAUGCGCAGAUAUCAGGAGGAACACCGGUGGCGAAGGCGGUUCUCUGGGCAUGAUCUGACGCUGAGGAGCGAAAGUGUGGGGAGCGAACAGG